rnacentral:rRNA from 1 species
CCAAUAGCGUAUAUUAAAGUUGUUGCAGUUAAAAAGCUCGUAGUUGAAUUUCGGGGUCAGUAGGUCGGUCGUGCCACUGGUAUGAACUGGUUUUACUGAUUCCUCCCUCUUGAAGAACUGUAAUGCCAUUAAUUUGGUGUUGCAGGGGAUCAGGACUGUUACUUUGAAAAAAUUAGAGUGUUUAAAGCAGGCUUUAGCUUGAAUACAUUAUCAUGGAAUAAUGAAAUAGGACGUUUGAUCCUAUUUUGUUGGUUUCUAGGAUUGACGUAAUGAUUAAUAGGGAUAGUUGGGGGCAUUAGUAUUCAAUUGUCAGAGGUGAAAUUCUUGGAUUUAUUGAAGACUAACUACUGCGAAAGCAUUUGCCAAGGAUGUUUUCAUUAAUCAAGAACGAAAGUUAGGGGAUCGAAGACGAUCAGAUACCGUCGUAGUCUUAACCAUAAACUAUGCCGACUAGGGAUCGGAUGAUGUUAAUUUUUUAAUGACUCAUUCGGCGCCUUACG